AUAGCAGCUGUGUCACAGCUGAUGAAGUUACAUGACUGCCAUCCAGCAUCAUUUAAAUCCCCUAAAAUAUAUCAGGUGCAAUGCUUAGCUGCAGUUCAGUGUAAGUGCAGGAUAGAAAAUGAAGAUGCAGCUGAAAGUGGAAAUAUAUACUUAAGGAAGGAAGAUUCAGCUAGCAUGCUCUCCUUCCUUCUGUGAAUUAAGUUUCAGGUACACUUGUAAAUCAAAGGAGGGAUGUCCCCGUCUCUGGAUCUUCCCAAAAGUCCAGUCCUCAGAAAAUUCAGAAAUUUCAGGUACCGUUGUGUCCAGGAGACGCUGGGAAGAAAGCUGCCAGGGUAAAGAGAUACUCGGCUUCUUUUUCUGUGAUGGAGUUAUAAAUUAUUUUUAAAAUUA